GGUUAUGGCUCAGAGGUAUAGCGCUUGCCUAGCAUGUGUGAGGCACUGAGUUCAAUCCUCAGCACCA
rnacentral:tRNA from 1 species